rnacentral:rRNA from 1 species
GCAUAAUCAUUUGUCUUAUAAUUGAAGUCUAGAAUGAAUGGCUUGACAAGAGUUAAGCUGUCUCUUAAUAUUCACUAAAAUUUCUAUUAUUAAGUUAAAAAGCUUAAAUACAAUUAAAAGACGAGAAGACCCUAUCGAGCUUAAGUACAAUUUUAAAGUCUCUUGCAUUAUAUGUAAACUUAAUAUUUACUAAAACUUUAGUUGGGGCGACUCGAGAACCUAUAAAGCUUCUUGUAAUUUUUAUAAUCUAUAAAUAUAGAUCCACAAUUUGUGAUCAGAAGAAUUAGUUACCGUAGGGAUAACAGCAUUAUCUUUUUUGAGAGCUCAAAUCGAAAAAAAGGUUUGUGACCUCGAUGUUGGACCAAGAUUUCCCGAAAAUGCAGAAGUCUUCAAAGGUUGGUCUGUUCGACCAUUAAAAUCUUACGUGAUCUGAGUUCAGACCGG